rnacentral:rRNA from 1 species
GGGUGAGUAACGCGUAGGAAUCUGCCCGGUAGUGGGGGACAACGUGGGGAAACCCACGCUAAUACCGCAUACGCCCUGAGGGGGAAAGCGGGGGACCGCAAGGCCUCGCGCUAUCGGAUGAGCCUGCGUUGGAUUAGCUAGUUGGUGGGGUAAAGGCCUACCAAGGCGACGAUCCAUAGCUGGUCUGAGAGGACGAUCAGCCACACUGGGACUGAGACACGGCCCAGACUCCUACGGGAGGCAGCAGUGGGGAAUAUUGGACAAUGGGCGCAAGCCUGAUCCAGCAAUACCGCGUGUGUGAAGAAGGCCUGAGGGUUGUAAAGCACUUUCACUGGGGAGGAAAAAGGCCGGUCUAAUACGCCUGCCCUUGACAUUACCUAGAGAAGAAGCACCGGCUAACUCCGUGCCAGCAGCCGCGGUAAUACGGAGGGUGCGAGCGUUAAUCGGAAUUACUGGGCGUAAAGCGUGCGUAGGCGGCCCGUUAAGUCAGAUGUGAAAGCCCUGGGCUCAACCUGGGAACGGCAUUUGAAACUGACGGGCUAGAGUUAGGUAGAGGGGGGCGGAAUUUCAGGUGUAGCGGUGAAAUGCGUAGAUAUCUGAAGGAACACCAGUGGCGAAGGCGGCUCCCUGGACCCAAACUGACGCUGAGGUACGAAAGCGUGGGUAGCAAACAGGAUUAGAUACCCUGGUAGUCCACGCCGUAAACGAUGUCGACUAGC